rnacentral:tRNA from 1 species
GUUAAUGUAGCUUAAUAGUAAAGCAAAGCACUGAAAAUGCUUAGACGGAUAUUAAUAAUCCCAUAAA